CAGUUGAGCACGUCUCCCCGUAACCAUUAUGACAGCAGAAGGGUGAUUCUGCAUGUAUCAAAUACAUCAUUAUACACUAAGGUCUCUAUUCCCCACCCCGCUUGUCACCUGAUGUGGUCCCUGUGGAUACGCUAGAGCUCCCAUUUGAACUCCAGAGUCCCAUUGAGACUCUGGCAACAGUGUUUAUGUGCUAUUCUAAUGCUGGUUUGAGCAGCCUAAGUGCUUUUUAAUGCAUAGCACUACAGCGAGUGUGCCUUAUUCUUUCCCUUGUUGAAUGGGUGUCUGGAGGAAUGUAAUUCCAGUCUCUUGCUUCAGCACAUCAUUAUUUACAAGGCACAGGAACAUGACCACACCAAGCAUGGAGAGAGCCACUAUCAAGCUGUAAUUUGGCAACCGGCACGUGUGUGAGUGCAAGGAGCAGAUCCAUCCUCUUCAGGCUGGAUGUAUGCACGAGAUGGGCUAAUACUUUUCUUUAUUUCUGUAGAGCAGCAGUGGGGAGCCUGUUUCAGCCCGAGGAUCACAUUGCCUUUUGAAAAACCUAUUUCAGGCAUCCUUCCAAAUUCGAACACCCUCCCUCUCUGCUUGACUUGGGGGGGGGGAUGCUCUAUUGCUCCUAACCCCUACUCCAUUGGAGGAGACACAACAGUAUUAUGGUGCCAUCUCGUGGCCAUAGCAAGUAGGGGCAUUUAACAGCAAUGCCGCUUGAGAGAGUCACAUUAAAACUGUCUUCCAUAACACUGGACGUGUCCGCCUGAAACUUUCGGCAGCUGCAUCACAAAGGACACAUUUCUGACUGAUGAAGAGAAACCAAAUCUGACAAAAGAGCGACAAGAUCUGCUGGGGAACAAUUGGUGAAACGUUCAUGACAAUGAAACAAGUUUAAUGUUUUUGCAAAGGUGAUGUCAAUAGCCUGGCGACCUUGUCAUCUGCCUGAUUAAUUGAUGUCCUGUUGCUUUAAUAUUUGUAUGCACAGAUUUUGAAAUGAAAAGAUGGAUGCAUAUUCCA